rnacentral:rRNA from 1 species
AGCGAACGCUGGCGGCAGGCCUAACACAUGCAAGUUGAACGAAGUCUUCGGACUUAGUGGCGGACGGGUGAGUAACACGUGGGAACGUGCCUUUAGGUUCGGAAUAACUCAGGGAAACUUGUGCUAAUACCGAAUGUGCCCUUCGGGGGAAAGAUUAAUCGCCUUUAGAGCGGCCCGCGUCGGAUUAGCUAGUUGGUGAGGUAAAGGCUCACCAAGGCUACGAUCAGUAGCUGGUCUGAGAGGAUGACCAGCCACAUUGGGACUGAGACACGGCCCAAACUCCUACGGGAGGCAGCAGUGGGGAAUCUUGCGCAAUGGGCGAAAGCCUGACGCAGCCAUGCCGCGUGGAUGAUGAAGGUCUUAGGAUUGUAAAUUCCUUUCACCGGUGAAGAUAAUGACUGUAGCCGGAGAAGAAGCCCCGGCUAAAUUCGUGCCAGCCGCCGCGGUAAAAC